rnacentral:rRNA from 1 species
UGGGGAAUAUUGGACAAUGGGCGCAAGCCUGAUCCAGCCAUGCCGCGUGAGUGAUGAAGGCCCUAGGGUUGUAAAGCUCUUUCACCGGUGAAGAUAAUGACGGUAACCGGAGAAGAAGCCCCGGCUAACUUCGUGCCAGCAGCCGCGGUAAUACGAAGGGGGCUAGCGUUGUUCGUAUUUACUGGGCGUAAAGCGCACGUAGGCGGACUUUUAAGUCAGGGGUGAAAUCCCGGGGCUCAACCCCGGAACUGCCUUUGAUACUGGAAGUCUUGAGUAUGGUAGAGGUGAGUGGAAUUCCGAGUGUAGAGGUGAAAUUCGUAGAUAUUCGGAGGAACACCAGUGGCGAAGGCGGCUCACUGGACCAUUACUGACGCUGAGGUGCGAAAGCGGGGGGAGCAAACAGG